AACUCUAGGCUUAUUGGUUGCAGGGCUUGUUUCUUGGUUACUGCUAGUCCUAUUGUUCCAUAACUGCUAGGCUAACCAUCACAGAAUCAUAAAUUCAGAACUGGAAGAGUCUCAUUUUCUAGAUGAUGAAACAGGCUCAAAGGGGUUCACUGAGUUGUCUAAGGAUUCAUAAGGAGCAAAUGUCAGAGGCACAAAAAAUGCUAGUUAACAACUCUCCUUAUCUCAGAGGGUUGGUCCAAAUUUAGAUGAAUACAGAACCUAAGAGAUGGGGAAGGGAAAGGAAAGACCCUGAAAAACAGUCUGAAGAAUGGGAAGCGUCAAGAACAGGUCAAUGCCAGAUGCACUUUUGACUCAUGGACCAGACUCAGCUUGAUGACUAAACCAUCCAAGUACCAAAAAGGACUUGCCCCAUUCCCGACCGUCUUUCUAUAGUCCACACUUCCCGUGGACCUGAAGCCCUCCCACGAUUGGCCAUUGAGGCUGUUUCAGGAGUGAUUUUCCAAUUCGCCACAUGUUCCUGGUUUCCCAAGGCCUGGCUUGUCCAAAUGUCAUUUGCUGAGAACUAA